rnacentral:rRNA from 1 species
GACGAACGCUGGCGGCGUGCUUAACACAUGCAAGUCGAACGGAAAGGCCCUGCUUUUGUGGGGUGCUCGAUUGGCGAACGGGUGAGUAACACGUGAGUAACCUGCCCUUGACUUUGGGAUAACUUCAGGAAACUGGGGCUAAUACCGGAUAGGAUCUCCUGCUGCACGGUGUGGGUUGGAAAGUUUCGGCGGUGGGGGAUGGACUCGCGGCUUAUCAGCUUGUUGGUGGGGUUGUGGCUUACCAAGGCUUUGACGGGUAGCCGGCCUGAGAGGGUGACCGGCCACAUUGGGACUGAGAUACGGCACAGACUCCUACGGGAGGCAGCAGUGGGGAAUAUUGCACAAUGGGCGGAAGCCUGAUGCAGCAACGCCGCGUGCGGGAUGACGGCCUUCGGGUUGUAAACCGCUUUCGCCUGUGACGAAGCGUGAGUGACGGUAAUGGGUAAAGAAGCACCGGCUAACUACGUG